UUGUACCAUCCUUGACAGGGAGACUCACUUCCUGUUUGUACGUGAGCAGUCGGAGCAAUCAUCCUUCUCUCACAUUGAAUGACUUGCAAGUGCAGACAGCUUUUUCUUGUUGCCUAGAGCCAUUGUUGCAGAGCUUAUGAGGAGCUAUAAAAGAGGUCAGGACACCUGGGUCUAGUCUCAGCUCUACCACCAACUAGCAAUGUGGCCAAGCACCAAGCCUUUCUGGUCUUAGCUUUCUCAUCUAUAAAAUGAAGAAGCCAAAGUUAACUGGAUUUCUAGCCCCUACCAACUCUAACAUCUCUAACAGUCAUGAUUUAAAGCUUCAAGCAUAUGAUUAUGAGAUGGUGGUUCUCAACAUUUACCACAACCUCCCAGCAAACCACACAGCAGUCAACUCUCAAGAUUUCUUCCAGGAGGGUAGAGGGAUUUUUCUCUUCACAUGCCAUCCAACUCCAUGGGAAAACAUUAGCAGUGACAAAUGACUCUGGAUGAACGCUUGAAUCCGAGAAGACUUGAUCUUAUAUUUAGAAAAACCUGAAGACUCUGCCAAAAAACUUUUAGAACUGAAACACAAUCUUAGUAAAAUUACAAGAUACAAAUAACAUAAAAACAUCAGUAGUGUUUCUAUAUGCUAACAGAGAUCUAUCUGAAAAAGUAAUCAAGAAAACAAUUUUGUUUACAAUAGCUACAAAAAUAUCAAAAUAUAAAUUCAACCAAAGAUGUGAAAAAUCUCUGCCAGGAAACUAUAAAACACUGAUGAAAGAAGUUGAAGAGGACAUGAAAAAUGGAAAAUAUCCCAUGCCAUGGGUGAUAAAAAUUAAUAUUGUUAAAACGUCUAUACUACCCUAAGUGAACUACAAUCAAAAUACCAGUGACAUUCUUCACAGAAAUAGAAAAACAAUCCUAGAAUUCAUAUGGAAUUACAAAAGACCUGGCAAAGCUAAGGCUAUCGUGAGCAAAAAGAACAAAGCUGGAAACAUCAUACUACCUGAUUUCAAAUUACAUGACAAAACUAUAAUAACCAUAACAGCAUAGUACUGGCAUAAAAACAGAGACAUAGACCAAUGGAAGAGGAUAGAGAGCCCAGAAGUAAGUGCAUGUAUUUACAGUCAACUCAUAUUUGACGAAGGCACCGAGAAUAUACACUGAGGAAAAAGGACAGUCUCUUCAAUAAAUGAUGCUGGGAAAACAGGAUAUCCAUACGUAGAAAAAUGAAAAAAAAAAAAAAAGACCCCUACCUUUCACCAUGUACAAAAAUUAACUCAAAUUGGAUUAAAGACUUAAAUGUAAAAUCUGAAACUAUAAAACUAGUAGAAAACAUUGGGGACAUACAGGACAUUGGACUGAGCAAAGUUUUUUUGGAUAAGACUUCAAAUGCACAGGCAACAAAAACAAAAACAGACACAUGGUGUUACAUAAAGCUAAAAAGCUUCUGAACAGCAAAGGAAAUAAUUAACAAAGUGAAGAGACAACCUACAGAACAGGAGAAAAUAUUUUCAAACUAUCCAUCUGAAAAGGAAUUAAUAACCAGAGUAUGUAAGGAACUCAAACAACUUAUUAACAAAAAAGCAAGCAAGCAAGCAAGAAAAAAAAUCUGAUUUAAAAAUGAGCAAAAGACCUUAAUAGACAUUUCUCAAAAGUAGACAUACAAAUGGCCACAGAUGCUCAAUAUCACUAAUCGUCAGGGAAAUGCAAAUCAAAACCACAAUCAGAUAUUAUCUGAUUGGCUUUAUCAAAAAAGAAAAAAUAACAAAUGCUGGCAAUGAUGCAGAGAACGGAGAACACUGGUAAACUUGGUGAGAAUGUCAAGUAGUACAGUCAUUAUGGAAAACAGUAUGGAGGUUCCUCAAAAAAACAAAGAUAGUACUACUAUAUGAUUAAUCAAUUCCAUUGCUGGGUAUAUGUCCAAAAGAGAGGAAAUAAGUAUGUCAAAGAGAUAUCUGCACUCUCAUGUUUAUUGCAGCAGUAUUUGCAAUAGCCAAGAUAUGGAAUCAACCUAAGUGUCCAUGAACAGAUGAAUGGAUAAAGAAAAUAUAGUGUAUAUACACAAUGGAAUAUCAUUCAGCCAUAAAAAAGUUAAUGAAAUCCUGUCAUUUGCAGCAAUAUGGAUAGGACUGGAGGUCAUCAUAAGUGAAAUAAGCCAGGCACAGAAGGACAAAUAAUGGAUGUUUUGAAUCAUAGGUAGGGGCAAAAAAAAGUAGGUCUCGUGGAUAUAGAAUAGAAUAGUAGUUACCAGAGGCUGUCAAGAGAAGGUGGAAUAGGAUAAAGGUAAGUUGGUUAAUGAGUACAAAAAUAUAGUUAAUAGAAGGAAUGUGUUCUAUUAUUUGAAAGUACAGUAGGAAAAUUAUAGUUAACAAUAAUUUAUUGUAUAUUUCAAAAUAGCUGGAAGAGAAGAAUUGUAAUGUUCCCAUCACAAAGAAAGGAUAAAUAUUUGAGUUGAUGAAUAGUUCAAUUACUCUGACUUGAUCACUAUAUGUUGUAUAUGUAUUUUUAAAUACCAUGUUCGCAAAAAUGUGUACAACUGUGAUAUAUCAAUAAAAAUACAAUAAAAGUGUGUUA